GUGUCUUGGCCAUUGGUCGAAAGCCUGAUCCAGCCAUGCCGCGUGUUUGAAGAAGCUCUUCUUAUUGUAAAUCACUUUAAGUUGGUCGAUAGUGCAGUAUGCUAACACCUAUCUGUUUUCACGUUACCGACAGAAUAAGCACAGGCUAACUCUGUGCCAGCAGCCGCGGUAAUACAGUGGGUGCAAGCGUUAAGCGGAAUUACUGGGCGUAAAGGGCGCGUAGGUGGUUCGGUAAGUUGGAUGUGAAAUCCCCGGGCGCAACCGGGGAACUGCAGCCAAAACUGGCGAGCUAGAGUAGGGCAGAGGGUGGUGGAAUUUCCUGUGUAGCGGUGAAAUGCGUAGAUAUAGGAAGGAACACCAGUGGCGAAGGCGACCACCUGGGCUCAUACUGACACUGAGGUGCGAAAGCGUGGGGAGCAAACAGG
rnacentral:rRNA from 1 species